UCAGGAUGAACGCUAGCGGGCAGGCUUAACACAUGCAAGUCGAGGGGUAUAGUUCUUCGGAAUUAGAGACCGGCGCACGGGUGCGUAACGCGUAUGCAAUCUACCUUUUACAGAGGGAUAGCCCAGAGAAAUUUGGAUUAAUACCUCAUAGCAUAGCAACUUCGCAUGAAGUCACUAUUAAAGUCACAACGGUAAAAGAUGAGCAUGCGUCCCAUUAGCUUGUUGGUAAGGUAACGGCUUACCAAGGCAACGAUGGGUAGGGGUCCUGAGAGGGAGAUCCCCCACACUGGUACUGAGACACGGACCAGACUCCUACGGGAGGCAGCAGUGAGGAAUAUUGGACAAUGGGCGCAAGCCUGAUCCAGCCAUGCCGCGUGCAGGAUGACGGUCCUAUGGAUUGUAAACUGCUUUUGCACAGGAAGAAACAACAUUACGUGUAAUGUCUUGACGGUACUGUGAGAAUAAGGAUCGGCUAACUCCGUGCCAGCAGCCGCGGUAAUACGGAGGAUCCAAGCGUUAUCCGGAAUCAUUGGGUUUAAAGGGUCCGUAGGCGGUCUUAUAAGUCAGUGGUGAAAUCUCCCCGCUCAACGGGGAAACGGCCAUUGAUACUGUAGGACUUGAAUUAUAAGGAAGUAACUAGAAUAUGUAGUGUAGCGGUGAAAUGCUUAGAGAUUACAUGGAAUACCAAUUGCGAAGGCAGGUUACUACUUAUGGAUUGACGCUGAUGGACGAAAGCGUGGGUAGCGAACAGGAUUAGAUACCCUGGUAGUCCACGCCGUAAACGAUGGAUACUAGCUGUUGGGAGCAAUUUCAGUGGCUAAGCGAAAGU
rnacentral:rRNA from 1 species